rnacentral:rRNA from 1 species
GAUGAACGCUGGCGGCGUGCCUAAUACAUGCAAGUCGAGCGAACAGACGAGGAGCUUGCUCCUCUGACGUUAGCGGCGGACGGGUUAGUAACACGUGGAUAACCUACCUAUAAGACUGGGAUAACUUCGGGAACCCGGAGCUAAUACCGGAUAAUAUAUUGAACCGCAUGGUUCAAUAGUGAAAGACGGUUUUGCUGUCACUUAUAGAUGGAUCCGCGCCGCAUUAGCUAGUUGGUAAGGUAACGGCUUACCAAGGCAACGAUGCGUAGCCGACCUGAGAGGGUGAUCGGCCACACUGGAACUGAGACACGGUCCAGACUCCUACGGGAGGCAGCAGUAGGGAAUCUUCCGCAAUGGGCGAAAGCCUGACGGAGCAACGCCGCGUGAGUGAUGAAGGUCUUCGGAUCGUAAAACUCUGUUAUUAGGGAAGAACAAAUGUGUAAGUAACUAUGCACGUCUUGACGGUACCUAAUCAGAAAGCCACGGCUAACUACGUG